rnacentral:rRNA from 1 species
GACGAACGCUGGCGGCGCGCUUAACACAUGCAAGUCGAACGGAAAGGCCUGCUUUCCCUUGUGGAUUGCGGGUACUCGAGUGGCGAACGGGUGAGUAGCACGUGAGUGAUCUGCCCCCAACUUGGGUAUAAGCCUGGGAAACUGGGUCUAAUUCCCGAUAGGACUGCAGGGUGGUGCCUGUGGUGGAAAACGAUUUUCUAGUGGUUGGGGAUGAGCUCGCGGCCUAUCAGCUUGUUGGUGGGGUAAUGGCCUACCAAGGCGACGACGGGUAGCCGGCCUGGGAGUGAGAGCGGCGACAGCCGCAUUGAGACAGGGUCCAGGCCCCUACGGGUGGGGGCGGCAGGAGUGGGUGAUAAUGGAGCAUGGGCCGAAGCCUGACGCAGCGAGGGCGUGAGGGGGAUGUCGGCGUUGGGGUGGUAAUCUGCUGUGGAAGAAGAGGAGCCGAUUUGGUUGGAAGUGUGGUGACGGUAGUGGAAGAAGAAGCACCGGCUAACUACGUG